GCCUGCGUGGUAUAGUGGCUUGAGUGUUGGACUAUGACACGGAAGACCAGGGUUCAAUUCCCAGCUCAGCCA